UAGGAGGGCGCGGCGGUCGCUGC
rnacentral:snRNA from 1 species